rnacentral:rRNA from 1 species
UACGAAGGGGGCUAGCGUUGUUCGGAAUUACUGGGCAGUAAAGGGCGCGUAGGCGGUUCGUUAAGUCCUGUGUGAAAUCCCCCGGCUCAACUGGGGAACUGCACAGGAAACUAGCGGGCUUGAGUUCGGGAGAGGGAAGCGGAAUUCCGGGUGUAGCGGUGAAAUGCGUAGAUAUCCGGAGGAACACCGGUGGCGAAGGCGGCUUCCUGGACCGACACUGACGCUGAGGCGCGAAAGCUAGGGGAGCAAACGGG